rnacentral:misc_RNA from 1 species
GGAAGGAUCAUUAAAACGUAUCCACGUAUCAACCAACUGUGAACUUGUUUUCAACCCUCUCCCUUCAUAGAAACAUGAAUUGGAAUGAAUAGAAGUAUUGAGUGGGACUCGCAAGAGUCAGCUUUUAUUCAUCACUUGCAGCAAUGCAGACAAUUGUAGUUUUUACGAAGGCAUAAACCUUCUUAUUAUGUUGCUCUCCAUUCAAGAGUGAUGUAGUAGGAUACAACCAUAAACACCCAUUUCACCCCCUUUUUGCUAGUUGACUUUUUAUAUGUUGUUUGAUAUAUAAUUCAUUUUAUAUGUGAUUCACACGUUUAUUACUUGAACGUUAAAAAAUACAACUCUUAGCAAUGGAUAUCUAGGUUCUCGCAACGAUGAAGAACGCAGCGAAAUGCGAUACGUAAUGCGAAUUGCAGAAUUCAGUGAAUCAUCAAAUCUUUGAACGCAAAUUGCGCUCUUGGGUAGCCCUAGGAGCACGCCUCUCUCAGUAUCGGUUCAACAAUCACUCAGCAGCGUUGCAAAACGUGUUGGCUGGAUAAUGAGAGUCUGAAUGCUAGUCAUUCAGUCUCUUUAAAUUCAUGGAGUGAAUUUAUACUAACUACUCUCGUUCGAAUUUAUUUCGAUAGCUCAGUCUCUGACUGUUGCUUUGUGAGUGACGUGAAUACUGACCUUUAUGGUCUCCUCUUUUACGUGUAUCUUGCAAACAAUUAUUAAGUCUAGGAUAGAGUGAAGAAGGUAGACUCAAAUUAGUAUCAUUCAUGUAUCGUGGCUAUAUGUAAGAAAAGCUACAAUCGACCUGUUAUUCAUUUUAUUGUGAAGACGAGUCUGAAUUUUGAUCUGAGAUGAAGCGAGACAACCCCCUGAAUUUAAGCAUAUUAAUAAGGGGAGGAAAAGAAAAUAACAAUAAUGCCCCUAGUAACGGCGAGUGAAGCGGGCAAAGCUCAAUUUGAAAAUCGACUACCUAAACGGGUCGUCGAGUUGUAGCCUAGAGACGUACUAUCAGCUGUAACCUGGGUAUAAGUUCUUUGGAAUGAGGCAUCAUAGAAGGUGAGAAUCCUGUAUAUGACCCAAAGCUUUCAGCGUACGAUGUAUGUUCAUCGAGUCGAGUUGUUUGGGAUUGCAGCUCUAAAUGGGAGGUAAGUUUCUUCUAAAGCUAAAUAUAGGCGAGAGACCGAUAGCGAACAAGUACCGUGAGGGAAAGAUGAAAAGAACUUUGAAAAGAGAGUCAAAUAGUACUUGAAAUUGCUAAGAGGGAAGCGCUGAAAACCAGUGAUACGCGUAGUUAAUCGCUUUUGGCCCCUCUGGAUCAUGUUUAUAGUUGGAUAACUCUAUCUGCAUGCUCGAAAAGGAGGUCAUAGGUUUAUGAUCAUGUGUCAGUCAAGAUCAAUUCGAAUUGUGGGAGAAGGCAGUGAGAAAGGUAGGAGAGCAAUCUCUGUUAUAAUCUCAUUGUUUUACCUCGGCUUGGAUUGAGGAAGUAAUAGUGCGCUGCUUGCGGCUUAGUCCUAUGCUCCUAUUGUUUUAUUUGUGUUCAUAGCAAUGCUAUGUGUAUGAAAAAGAGCAAUACUGAGUAUGGUGACUCUAUGUGCUAUCACGAUCUUGUACGAAAUGGUUUUCAUCGACCCGUCUUGAAACACGGACCAAGGAGUCUAACAUCUAUGCAAGUGUUUGAGUGAAAAACUCUGACGCGUAAUGAAAGUAAAGGUAGACUUGUUCUGCUGAGGUAGGAAUCCGGUAACACGGAGGCACUAUCGACCGAUCAUCACUUGUGAAAGAUUUGAGUAAGAGCAUAUCUGUUGGGACCCGAAAGAUGGUGAUCUAUGCCUGAACAGGGUGAAGCCAGGAGAAAUUCUGGUGGAGGCUCGUAGCGAUACUGACGUGCAAAUCGUUCGUCUGAUUUGGGUAUAGGGGCGAAAGACUAAUCGAACCAUCUAGUAGCUGGUUCCCUC